CCCACCACUCCGCUCCACCCCUGAGCUGCGUUCUCGUUCCUAUCAUGGUAAGCAUAAAGCAAUUGCGAACAAUGAGCAUUUGCAGAGGAAUCUGGACAGGUGAUGAUGAUUUCUAGUGUAUAAGCUCAUUAUUUCAUUAUUUUUGCUGUAUAGAUGUUAUAUGCAUAGAGAACAGUGUAUCCAUACCAUUUGUGAUUCUGUGCUGAUCGUGCUGUGGCAUACCUCAGAC
rnacentral:lncRNA from 1 species